AGCAGCCGCGGUAAUUCCAGCUCCAAUAGCGUAUAUUAAAGUUGUUGCAGUUAAAAAGCUCGUAGUUGAAUUUCGGGGUUAGUAGGUUGGUCAUGCCUCUGGUAUGUACUGGUCUCACUGAUUCCUCCUUCCUGAUGAGCCGUAAUGCCAUUAAUUUGGUGUUGCGGGGAAUCUGGACUGUUACUUUGAAAAAAUUAGAGUGUUUAAAGCAAGCUAACGCUUGAAUACAUUAGCAUGGAAUAAUGAAAUAGGACGUUCGAUCCUAUUUUGUUGGUUUCUAGGAUUGACGUAAUGAUUAAUAGGGAUAGUUGGGGGCAUUAGUAUUCAAUUGUCAGAGGUGAAAUUCUUGGAUUUAUUGAAGACUAACUACUGCGAAAGCAUUUUGCCAAGGAUGUUUUCAUUAAUCAAGAACGAAAGUUAGGGGAUCGAAGACGAUCAGAUACCGUCGUAGUCUUAACCAUAAACUAUGCCGACUAGGGAUCGGAUGAUGUUAAUUUUUUAAUGACUCAUUCGGCGCCUU
rnacentral:misc_RNA from 1 species